rfam:Candidatus Acidianus copahuensis strain ALE1 ctg7180000000565, whole genome shotgun sequence.
GCGGUCGUCGUCUAGCAUGGAAUAGGACGUCAGCCUCCCAAGCUGAUGAUCCCGGGUUCAAAUCCCGGCGGCCGCA